rnacentral:lncRNA from 1 species
AUCGAAACCCGCUCCAGUGAUGCCAGCUAUCCCUCCGGCGCCGGUUCCACCGAAGACCACCAGUUGUGGUCUUCGCAAGGGCCACAAAAGACGGGCGGGGUGUCCAGUAGCACCCCGAAAGCAAGCUUUGCUGGGGGUCCUUGUCUUGCUCCGGAGGAAGAAGGCGUCCGGAGGGCUUACCUAAUGAGCAAGCAAGCACGGAAAGGAGCCAACCACAAGGUUGGAGGUGCAGCGCCCCGCGGGAGGUGAAGAGGGAGACGAAGAUGGGUGAGCAAUCUGCCUGCAACGCGAGAGGGUAGCCUGGCAAGGUUUGUUUAUGUCCGUGCGUGCGUAGGGCGAUUUUAUAGGCGCCGGGGCCCCGCCCCCAGGGCCUCGCCCCUCCCAGACCCUCUGCUCCCAGCGCAGCAGGAGACGGGGACACACCCCUUUCUCCGGCCCGCCUCGUGCUGCACCCUGCCUGGGCUGGGCGGGGCGGGCUGGAGCCGCCGCCUGUUGCGCAAGCCUUUGCAGGGGCGCGACUGGAGAGACUGCCCGGCCCUGCCUGCCGCUCCUCCCUGUGAUCCGCUCUCGGGACCGCGGCGUGUGCAGCGAACGUGUGCCCACCGAGUGGUAGCGUGGUGUGCCCGUGCGCGCUCGUGCGCGUGUGCAUAAGGACUCCCUUGUGUCUCUCUGCGCGACCGCUUGCCCCCCUAUAGCCUUUGAGUUUCCUAAGCCUCUGCCCGCGCCACGCCCUUCUGGGCGGCACCCCCCACUUCCUCCGGGUCUCCACGCAGUCACUCCCGAGCCCCAUUUACAGCCUAGACGGCAGACUUUAUCUCCAGGCUCCUUUCACAUUGCUUAGCUCCCUUUAUUCUUGCUGAUCUUGGCGCCCCACAACUCCCUUCCUACUCUGAGCUGCUGUUUCCCCGCUGCUCCAGCCCGCUGUGUCAGCUGUAAGCACUCUACGGACUGCAGUUUGUGGUCCCCAGAACGUGCAUAGAAUUUGCUUUCCAAUCAUGGAUCUUCCUUCUGUCGUGAUGUUCUAAAACCUUGGCCUGCUUGCCUGUUACCGGGUUCUCGCCCUGACCUACACCUGAGCCUCUCCAGGGAGCUUUUCUUAAGCAGGUGGAUACCCUGGUUACACCCCAGAGCAGCUUAGUUAGAAUCUGAGAGUGUGCCCCAACACUGGGGCUUUGAAAAAAAACUCCUCAAAGGGUGCAGCAAGAUGGCACACCUGGUAAAGACAUGUGGCCUGCAAAACCCUGGGGACCUAAAUUCCAUGCCCGGAAACCACAAAGUGGAAAGGAAGAACACAGUGCCAUACAUUUUCCUCAGACCCCUCGCUCCCCAUCCCCACUAAAUAAAUAAACAUUGCCCGGAUUGGCUCAGAUGUGAAACCACGUUGAGAAUCUCAGCACCCAGCACCAAGAAAACAUCAUGUUAUAGAGAGAUUGAGUCACACCUAAGGCCCAGUCCAGUCAUUGUUUCAACGCCACCUGCUCAACCCUUAUGACUCAAGUGGCCUUCCCCUCCCCCCUCCUCUAGAUAACCUGACCCUCAUUCUCUUGGUCUAUGGAUAUCUAGGGAGCCGCUUUAAGAGCCUGCUCUGUGCUAAGGAGCUGGAGAAGAAGGAAGUAAGAAGAAAAAAGGAAAGCUCUUUCUUUGGGGGACAUAGCAAAAUGGAGCCCCAAGAUUUCUGUUUCCCAAGACAUCCAUACAAGAUCGCUAAGCUGAGCUUACCAGAUCUAUAGUUGUCCUGAGCACCUACUAUGUUCAAGAACUUCUGGACCCAAGGACCAUGAGAGGAGGAAUCUGACACCCACAGCGAGUACACCUGGCCCCAGGUGAAAGGUCUUAUGACUAAAUCCGGUCCUACCAGAACUCUGAUUGCUCCGACCUCCUCCCUGGCCCCCAGGCAGCUGUGGGCCUGGAUUCUGAAGGAGUGAUACAGACUUAAUCACCAGGAGAAAAGCAGACAGGAUGCCUAAAAGACAAGGUUCCUUUCUACCCAAGCCUGAAGUCCCAAAACUGUGAUGGACCACCCUAGGCUUCCUGAAGCAUUGGGAACCACCAGAGCUACAAAGCCAACACUCAUUCAGGACAGAUGUUGGUCACUCUGGAUUCUAGGCGGGGGAGUCAGAGGAGUACAGGUUCACUAUGUAGAUAAGAAUGACCUGAACUUCAGACCCUCCUGUCUUCAAGUCUAAUGUGCAAGCAUUGCAGGGAGUAUAAUUACCACCAUACUGUUUCACGAGUCCUGGAUGGAUGUCAGGACCUGUUGUGGCGAGUAGAACUAUGGCAAGCAAGAAACCCACAGUCAACAGUCCUGUCUUUAGCCUCCUUGAUGUCACAUGGAGUCCUCAGGAGAGGCUAGGCCUGGAGCCAUCGGAACAAGCUGCAACAGGAACAUGAAGAUCUCAACCGAGAGGGCAGAUGUGAUGCCAAGCUCCACAAGCUGAACCCAAGGGUUGAGACACUGAGCUAUGCAGAUUAGCCUACCAUUACCUCACUGGACACACCAUGAGCUUUUCUCCCCUGGCCCCCAGUGCCUGUAGGCAGAUCAGUGAUGGUUGACUUUGGGGGACUCAUUUCUCCAGCUUUGUUAAAUCAAGUCAAUGCAUCUUAAUGACCCAAGAACUUGGAGUUGGGCCUGUGCCAAUCUCACUGUAGCCCAUCCAAGGAUCAUAAACCUCUGAGAGGAGAGUGAGAGGUGGGUAAGGAAAAGUCUUCCUAGAGAGGGACUGUCUCACUGGUGCUGUCAACAAGCAACCCUCACAAGGUGAUGGCUUAGAGAAAGAAAUUAGUGACAUGAGUAGGCAUUGGUGGCAAAUGGAGUUUACCCUAGGACCCAAGCUGGUGGAGGGUCCAAUUUGUCACCUCUGCCAAAAUGGAAGAAGGGGGCACUACGCACUGGUCAUGUGUUGAUAAAACUUCCAUUCAGAAAAAAAAAUUAACAAAAAAAUUAUGUGACACUUUUUUUUGCAUACAUUGACCCCAGUAACUCAGCUGACCCCAACAAGUGUUCAAAUGACAGUAAACUGGAAUUUCACCUCGUGUCCCACCAAGGCCUGCAAACAUAGUGUAAUCAGCAUAAGUGAGUUCCCUGGGAAGGGCAAUGGCUCCUCAGGUUCUUCUGAUGGUCUUUCCCUCUGAGACUGUUAAAGGUGGAAUGGGACAUUGACUGCCUGCCCCUAAUCUCAGGAGGAAGGACUAGCACUUUGGAAACCACUUUUGAGAAGUGUGACCUAGACUGUGCUAACCAUAUCAAGGGCCUGCUGAAUAGGAGAAAUUAACAUGGGUCCUUGGUCAUUAGACCUACCUCAGAGGUUAAAGGAAAGGGAUUAGACACUCUCAAGUCAUUGGAACACUCAUGUUCUCAGAGCUUGUGGCUUCUUUUUGUCAUUCAACAUAUGUUGGUAGAUGUUGGUCUAGAUUCUCAAUGAACCAGUUGGCCAAUUCUGUGGCCACCCAUUCUUUUCAUUAUUUUAUAACAGUGCAGGAGUGGUCUUGCUGUACAAGGUAAGCUAAAUGGUAUGGAGUUGGACUCAAUAAUACAGUUGUCAUGGGUGACUUGCCUUCUCCAUCCAAAUCCAUAUGGCCUAACCCUUGUGGCCUUGGAACAAAACUACACUGGGAGACAGGUCUUCACCAUUAAAAUGGUCUCAUCCGAU